UUUGGCUAAUGAAGGUAGGAAAAAUUAAAACGACAAGAUAAAUACUCAGUGGUAGCAAAAGUGUGGAGGAAAUGGACAUCUCCAAGCACUGCAGGUAGGAGCACAACUGAAUAAACACUGUUUGGAAGAAGCAGAGGAGAGCAGGAAGAGAUUGUCAGAAGGCUUGUGGAGAAGAUGAUGAUGCCAAAACUGUCACAGAACCUGAGGACAGGAGGCAGGCCGUUGAAGAAUUUUCUGGAUCAAAGGGCAGACCUAAUAGUCGCUGGCUUGUCCCGAAGCUAGAAUACCAAGGGUGAGGAAGGCAAGAGACACCCCGGGAUCAUGACCUGAGCUGAAGGCAGACGCUUAACGAGGGAGCCCCCCAGGCAACCCCAGGUCUAUAGUUUAAAAACGAUUUUUGUUUUAAAGAACAGGGGUACUAGGCAGUGUUUUCAUUCAGUGUGAGUUCAUCUGUCCCUAAAGAAUUCAAAGGGAAUUUGAUUAUGGAAAGAUGGCUGAGAAACUAGCUCUGUUGAUAUUUUGUUUCUUUUGAGGUGAUCUGCUCCUUAAAAGGGAAGAUGGGGUGAUGGUGAUUCAGGAUGUUAAUAUAAAGAUGGAAGAUAGAAGGAAGAAAGUCAAUUGCCCUUUCAGAACUCACGUAGUCCGCUGAAAAGUCAUCUACCCAGCAUGGUUCCUCUAAAAUGUAGGUGUAUGGGUUUAAGUAAUUUUUCCUUACCCAAUUAUCUCUGUCACAUCGCUGUUCCUUUAAUCCCUCCCAUCUAAUUGGUGAUCAAAGCCUGAAUUCCAUCUGCUAAAUGAAGCUCUUAAUCUGCGCCUUCCCCUCCAAUCCAGCUGCCCUGCAGCUACUU